UACGUAGGGUGCAAGCGUUGUCCGGAAUUAUUGGGCGUAAAGAGCUCGUAGGCGGUUUGUCGCGUCUGCUGUGAAAAUCCAGGGCUUAACCCUGGACCUGCAGUGGGUACGGGCAGACUAGAGUGCGGUAGGGGAGAUCGGAAUUCCUGGUGUAGCGGUGGAAUGCGCAGAUAUCAGGAGGAACACCGGUGGCGAAGGCGGGUCUCUGGGCCGACAUUGACGCUGAGGAGCGAAAGCGUGGGGAGCGAACAGG
rnacentral:rRNA from 1 species